AGCACAGGCAGAAAGAAACAAAAGCUUCUUAGCAUUCAUGAGUAUAUUGUUCCAAAAUGCAGAAGGUGAAAGUCAUGGUCAUGGAGAAGUCAAGCGACCUGGGAAGAGAAUUGGCCAUGGCUCCCCAGGUGAGGAGGAGACAGAAAUGAAGCUGGGAGACUUACACCCUUCACCCUCAUUCAUGGAACCAAGCUCAAGCCUCCCUCCCCUGCUCGCAGUAUAAAUUGAACAGAGAAGUAUCAAUAAGUAUCCAACUGCAGGGCUUAAGGAGGAAUAUUUUGGGAUGUUUCAAGAUGCAGAAAAGGAUCCAAACAUCAGUUCUCAAAUGAACAAUGAGACACAGCUACCAUUUGCUCCCUGUGGAACUGCAGACCACCUUCUGAUAUUGAGGGUCUUCCACAUUUGCCGGAAAAUACCAUGGGCUGAAGAUGUGCAAUAGGCUUUACCUCCCUCUCUCAAGAGGUGG
rnacentral:lncRNA from 1 species